rnacentral:rRNA from 1 species
UACUGAGACACGGACCAGACUCCUACGGGAGGCAGCAGUGAGGAAUAUUGGUCAAUGGGCGCAAGCCUGAACCAGCCAUGCCGCGUGCAGGAUGACGGUCCUAUGGAUUGUAAACUGCUUUUGUACAGGAAGAAACAACUCUACGUGUAGAGUCUUGACGGUACUGUAAGAAUAAGGAUCGGCUAACUCCGUGCCAGCAGCCGCGGUAAUACGGAGGAUCCAAGCGUUAUCCGGAAUCAUUGGGUUUAAAGGGUCCGUAGGCGGUUUAGUAAGUCAGUGGUGAAAGCCCAUCGCUCAACGGUGGAACGGCCAUUGAUACUGCUAAACUUGAAUUAUUAGGAAGUAACUAGAAUAUGUAGUGUAGCGGUGAAAUGCUUAGAGAUUACAUGGAAUACCAAUUGCGAAGGCAGGUUACUACUAAUGGAUUGACGCUGAUGGACGAAAGCGUGGGUAGCGAACAGGAUUAGAUACCCUGGUAGUCCACGCCGUAAACGAUGGAUACUAGCUG